CUGUUUUAUCUCUAUCUGAAGCAAAGUGGCCAGAUUAUCCUCUAUACUUUGCUAUGGGUUUUUCUGUGUUUGAGUAUGAAAACAUCAAGUGAUUGGAGACAUCAGUUUGGUUGAGUUAAAAAGAGAGACUGUUUAGACAACUUGCAUUUAACAGAUGACCUUGCUGCCCUCUCUACCAUGCCCUGGCUGAUCCUAGGGCUCAUGGAUGCUCAUGAGGCUGCAGGGUAAGCUCUUCAGAACCAGUGUACUUCUGAGCCCUCCAGGUGACUUCUUUGCUUACCAAGAGUCUUUGUUCCUAACCCUCCUCAAGUCUGAGGUACCUAGUGUUGCACUUAUGCAAUUCAGUCAGAUAAUACAUUUAUUACAACAACAGAGAUUAUUAUUGAAGACUUAUUAAUGGAAUGACAACUAUGGCCCUGUUAUUUUAGGCACUGGAGUACAUCUGCAAACAGGCAACAUUCCCUGCCCUCCUGAGCUUGAAUUCUAAUGGGCGAAAUGUAUAGAACGUCAGAUACGUAUGCUAGAAAAAAACAACAUUGAGGUGGGAGGCCAAGGUGGCUACUUUAAUUAGGAUAAUGGAGAACGCUUCACUGAGAAGGUGACAUAUGAACAAAGAACUAGAAAGAAGGAAUUCUAAGAGCUCACCCUGUGGAUAUCCAGAGGAAGAAAAUUUGGAGAGGGGGAACAGCAAGCCAGUUGGAAGCAAGAGCUCCCUUGGCCACGUGAGGAAGUGUACCUGG
rnacentral:lncRNA from 1 species